GAAAUCCUGAAAUGAAAGAAAAUAUUAUCAUCAGAAACUAGAUCAAAAUGGCUUGAAAGCUUUUUAAGUAGCUAUUAGAAGUUUCAUCAAGUUAAAACUCUACUGAAUGUGACAAGUGGUGUUUGGUGCAAUAGUAUUUCAAGUUAUAUACAGUGGUUGAGGUAGAACUGGUGAAAUAUAUGCAUUGGGUGAUUCUGCUACCAUAGUCCAGCGCAAAGUCAUGGUAAUUUUCUAAAGCCAACUUCUACACCUUAAGAAAAAUUAUUCACAAUACAAGGUUAAUUAAUGAUUUUCAAUAUUCACUAUGCAGUAAUCUCAUAUUUAUCCCUUGCAGAACUUUGCUUUCUAAAAUAUGUUAUCUUUUGAUGAUUUGUGGAACUAGAUUUUCCGUGAAUAGAAUCUUGUAUAUAGUCCUGUUCUGUAAUCCAUGUUUCUUACAUGAUGCUGUUUUCUCUGUUAGUGGGAGUGCUGGUGGCGGUAUUCUGGCUUAUUCAGAUUCAAAGCCAUACAACGCCGAAAAUGUAGUAGCUACACUUGAAGCUGAAAUCAAGAGAAAGAAGGUAGUGGUGCUUGGAACUGGUUGGGCUGGAUACAGUUUCUUGAAGAACCUGAAGAAUCCUUCAUAUGAUGUUCAUGUCAUCAGUCCUCGUAAUUACUACCAAGUGUCAACGUUGGAAUCGUUGAAAUCCGUAUUAUAUGUGAACCAAUUCGCAAGAUGGUUAAGAAGGUAAGGGAACAGGAUUUUUGAGAAUGCCUAGCUGGUAAAAUAUCUAAGAAAUUAGAACACUUUUGCUACUGUCUGGGUUCUGAUACUUUGCUUCUCUAUCUCUUUCCAGAAAGAUGUUAGUAUUAGUUACUGGGAAGCUGAAUGUCUUGGUAUAGAUCCUAUAAACAAGAAAGUGAAUUGUCGGUCAACUCAUGAUGUUGCUCUGAGCGAUAAAGCUUAUUUUUCUGUGGACUAUGACUACCUUGUCAUCGCUAUUGGAGCUCGCUCCAACACAUUCAACACCCCUGGGGUGGAGGAGAAUGCCCAUUUCUUGAAGGAGGUGGAGGAUGCUCAAAAGAUCUGUCAGAGUAUAAUUGAUUGUUUUGUGAAGGUCGCCCUCCCAACACUUAGUGAGGAUUAGAGGAAGAGAAUUCUUCAUUUUGUUGUUGUUGGUGGUGGCCCAACUGGUGUUGAGUUUGCUGCAGAACUUCAUGAUUUUGUGAAUGAAGAUUUAGUAAAAUUGUAUCCCAAGGUGAAGGAGCUUGUCAAAAUAACACUGCUGGAGGCAACAGUUCAUAUAUUGAAUAUGUUUGAUAAAAGAAUCACAACAUUUGCGGAGGAGAAGUUCCUCAGGGAUGGUAUCAAAUACGAGACGAUGGAGAUUGAAGACAAUGGUCAAGUUUCAGUUGUACAUAUUAUUUGCUCAACUUAGAAUUUUAAUUUUCGUAGGUAUUAUUAGAUUAUAGAAAUUUUAUUUUUAAGACAUUAAUUAUUGGAAUAAAUUGAUGAUUUGGCUAGUGAAAUUGAUUUUGUAUGUAAAUUAAAUAUAGCAAAUAUUUUUUACAUUA